UGCCGAAUAAGUAUUGCAAUUGUAUAUCGGAUUUUCACUUCGAAGGACUUUUAUAAAUAAAGAUUCGGUA
rnacentral:tRNA from 1 species